rnacentral:misc_RNA from 1 species
GCAACUAUGGCUGAAGCAGGAAGCAAUAUGACUCUUGCGGGUGAUGAUAAAAGCCAGAAUCCAAUGGAUGAUGCAGCCUUACUUGAACAGGCUCUGGCACUGUCUAAGGCUGGUGGUGCGACAAGUUCAGACAUUGAUAUGACUGAUGCUUCUGCAGAAGACCAAGAAUUGGCUUUGGCCCUUCAAAUGUCCAUAGAGGAAACUGCCAAAGAUGCAACUCAGCCAGAUGCAACUCAGUCUGGAAUGAGCAAGGUGUUGGAGGACCAAUCUUUUGUUUCGUCUAUCCUUAAUUCACUUCCUGGUGUUGAUCCUAAUGACCCUUCUGUGAGAGAUUUCCUUUCAUCAUUGCAAGGUCAAUCAGAGCCCCAAGAGAAGCCAAAUGAAGAGAAGCCAAGU